ACAAUGGACACAAUGCGCAACAAUCACACAAGCAUCAACACAAGGCAAGCCGCACAAUAUUCAAGCCACAAUCAACACGCAAGGAUCAACCACAUAACAAGCCUCAAUGUGCAUCAAACAACCAAACCGCAAGCCACAAGUAAUAACAAGUUACACCAAGUAACAAAUGACUAACCUCAAUAAUAAGUGGCAAGCAACCUCACGGCAAGGCAAUCCACAAGUGACCAUGCGCAAGCCAUUCAACAACCAUACACGAACCAUGCACAAUAAUAAGCUCAA
rnacentral:misc_RNA from 1 species